GUUGCGGACGAAGCGAACUACAUCGGGACGCUUUGGCCGCCGAGCGAAAAAAAAACACCAUUGAGCUCGACCUCAGAUCAGGUAGGAGUACCCGCUGAACUUAAGCAUAUCAAUAAGCGGAGGAAAAGAAACAACAGGAUUGCCCCAGUAGCGGCGAGUGAAGCGGCAAGAGCUCAGAUUUGAAAUCGUGCUAAUUUUUUUGGCACGAGUUGUAGAGUGUAGGCGGGAGUCUUUGUGGAGCACGGUGUCCAAGUCCCUUGGAACAGGGCGCCUGAGAGGGUGAGAGCCCCGUGGGGUGCCGUGCGAAGCUCUGAGGCCCUGCUGACGAGUCGAGUUGUUUGGGAAUGCAGCUCCAAGUGGGUGGUAAAUUCCAUCUAAGGCUAAAUACUGGCGAGAGACCGAUAGCGAACAAGUACUGUGAAGGAAAGAUGAAAAGCACUUUGAAAAGAGAGUGAAACAGCACGUGAAAUUGUUGAAAGGGAAGGGUAUUGGGCCCGACAUGGGGAGUGCGCACCGCUGUCUCUUGUAGGCGGCGCUCUGGGCGCUCUCUGGGCCAGCAUCGGUUCUUGCUGCGGGAGAAUGGGUGCCGGAAAGUGGCUCUUCGGAGUGUUAUAGCCGGCGCCAGAUACCGCGUGCGGGGACCGAGGACUGCGGCUUCUGUCUCGGAUGCUGGCACAACGGCGCAAUACCGCCCGUCUUGAAACAUGGACCAAGGAGUCUAACGUCUAUGCGAGUGUUUGGGUGUAAAACCCGUACGCGUAAUGAAAGUGAACGUAGGUCGGACCCCUUCGGGGGGCAC
rnacentral:rRNA from 1 species